AACGCACCUUGCACUCCUUGGUAUUCCGAGGAGUAUGCCUGUUCGAGUGUCAUUAAAUUCUCAAACUAUUUUCCUUGUUAAUCUUGGAGACAGUUUGGAUAUGAGAGUUGCUGGAUUUCUUAAAUCAGCUCUCUUUAAAUGCAUUAGGAGUUUUGGCUUUGUUCCACAUUCUCAAUUGAUGUGAUAGUUAUCUACAUCAUUAGAGUUUGAAUCUGCGUAUAACCGUCGUUAUUUUGACAUCUUUUGACAAUUUGACCUCAAAUCAGGUAGGACUACCCGCUGAACUUAA
rnacentral:misc_RNA from 1 species